rnacentral:rRNA from 1 species
GAUGAACGCUGGCGGCGUGCCUAAUACAUGCAAGUCGAACGGAGGAUGUAGCAAUACUUCCUUAGUGGCGAACGGGUGAGUAACGCGUUGGUGACCUGCCCCGAAGCGGGGGAUAACAGUUCGAAAGAAUUGCUAAUACCCCAUGUGGUCAUCAGGGUUUGAGGCCUGAUGAUUAAAGGAGUAAUUCAUUUCGGGAGGGGCCUGCGUCCCAUCAGCUAGUUGGUAGGGUAAUGGCCUACCAAGGCGAUGACGGGUAGGGGACCUGAGAGGGUGGCCCCCCACAAUGGAACUGAAACACGGUCCAUACACCUACGGGUGGCAGCAGUAGGGAAUAUUGGUUAAUCUGCGUAAGCGGGAACCAGCAACGCCGCGUGUGCGAUGACGGCCUUCGGGUUGUAAAGCACUUUUAUGGAGGAUGAGGAAGGACAGUACUUCAUGAAUAAGUCUCGGCUAACUACGUGCCAGCAGCCGCGGUAA